GGGUUGUGAGGUUAAGCGACUAAGCGUACACGGUGGAUGCCCUGGCAGUCAGAGGCGAUGAAGGGCGUGCUAAUCUGCGAUAAGCGCCGGUAAGGUGAUAUGAACCGUUAUAACCGGCGAUACCCGAAUGGGGAAACCCAGUGUGACUCGUCACACUAUCAUUAACUGAAUCCAUAGGUUAAUGAGGCGAACCGGGGGAACUGAAACAUCUAAGUACCCCGAGGAAAAGAAAUCAACCGAGAUUCCCCCAGUAGCGGCGAGCGAACGGGGAGGAGCCCAGAGCCUGAAUCAGCAUGUGUGUUAGUGGAAGCGUCUGGAAAGGCGCGCGAUACAGGGUGACAGCCCCGUACACAAAAGCGCAUAUGCUGUGAGCUCGAUGAGUAGGGCGGGACACGUGGUAUCCUGUCUGAAUAUGGGGGGACCAUCCUCCAAGGCUAAAUACUCCUGACUGACCGAUAGUGAACCAGUACCGUGAGGGAAAGGCGAAAAGAACCCCGGCGAGGGGAGUGAAAAAGAACCUGAAACCGUGUACGUACAAGCAGUGGGAGCACCCUUUUGGGUGUGACUGCGUACCUUUUGUAUAAUGGGUCAGCGACUUAUAUUCUGUAGCAAGGUUAACCGAAUAGGGGAGCCGGAGGGAAACCGAGUCUUAAUUGGGCGUUAAGUUGCAGGGUAUAGACCCGAAACCCGGUGAUCUAGCCAUGGGCAGGUUGAAGGUUGGGUAACACUAACUGGAGGACCGAACCGACUAAUGUUGAAAAAUUAGCGGAUGACCUGUGGCUGGGGGUGAAAGGCCAAUCAAACCGGGAGAUAGCUGGUUCUCCCCGAAAGCUAUUUAGGUAGCGCCUCGUGAAUUCAUCUCCGGGGGUAGAGCACUGUUUCGGCUAGGGGGCCAUCCCGGCUUACCAACCCGAUGCAAACUGCGAAUACCGGAGAAUGUUAUCACGGGAGACACACGGCGGGUGCUAACGUCCGUCGUGAAGAGGGAAACAACCCAGACCGCCAGCUAAGGUCCCAAAGUCAUGGUUAAGUGGGAAACGAUGUGGGAAGGCACAGACAGCCAGGAUGUUGGCUUAGAAGCAGCCAUCAUUUAAAGAAAGCGUAAUAGCUCACUGGUCGAGUCGGCCUGCGCGGAAGAUGUAACGGGGCUAAACCAUGCACCGAAGCUGCGGCAGCGACGUUUAUG
rnacentral:rRNA from 1 species